rnacentral:rRNA from 1 species
CCUACGGGAUGCAGCAGUGGGGAAUAUUGCACAAUGGGGGAAACCCUGAUGCCGCGACGCCGCGUGAGCGAUGAAGUAUUUCGGUAUGUAACGCUCUAUCAGCAGGGAAGAAGAUGACGGUACCUGACUAAGAAGCCCCGGCUAACUACGUGCCAGCAGCCGCGGUAAUACGUAGGGGGCAAGCGUUAUCCGGAUUUACUGGGUGGAACGGGAGCGUAGACGGCGAUGCAAGCCAGAUGUGAAAGCCCGGGGCUCAACCCCGGGACUGCAUUUGGAACUGUGUGGCUGGAGUGUCGGAGAGGCAGGCGGAAUUCCUAGUGUAGCGGUGAAAUGCGUAGAUAUUAGGAGGAACACCAGUGGCGAAGGCGGCCUGCUGGACGAUGACUGACGUUGAGGCUCGAAAGCGUGGGGAGCAAACAGGAUUAGAUACCCUUGUAGUC